UAACCCACUGCCUCAUCUCGAUCCUUCCUCGUUACACUAUCCUAGAAACCCACCGACUCAUAACCUCUUCAACAUCAGACUCAUCGAUCUUCAACAUCAAACGAACCCGUCACCGCCUUCCCUUCUCUCUCCCGACGUCGACCUAGAGUAGCCGGAGGAACAGUAUGUUGAUGUUCCGAUUUAGAUCAGACAUACGAUGAGUUUGAGGCUUUCUCUAACAUGCACUUAGUUUACUCUAAUCUCCCAUAAGCACGUUGAACCAUGGGAGUCCGUCGACCAUAGAAACGACGACUCACCGACUGCCUCUUUGUUCUCGGUUGUGUUUGUUUCUAAUCUGCAGUGGUCUUCCUCCGGUUGCAGAUCAUAGUCGACACUCCAGAUUUUGUGUUUCAAGCGGCCUCGAAAUAUCUUCCGUCCUUCCAGACUAUUACUAUUGCUGGCCUCCUACGGCGUCCACCAACUAGAAAUAUGUUUCCCGUUCCAUAUCCUCAGCCGGCAACCCACCCGCUGCGGAUUCCCCGGUUUCAACCUCUCAUGUGACGAACAAAACCAAACAAUCAUCUGACUUCCGUCAUCCCGCUCAUACAUCGUCAAUAGAAUUUCCUACGUUUCACAGAUCCAGAAUAUCUCCUGUUUCCAAAUCUGAGUCUCUGAAUUCAUCUGCAUGAACAUCAACUAUCUCUGAUUCCAAGUUGAACUUUUUGGGUCAAUUGCGUCCCAGAUAAACGAGAUCACGAUUUUCUGGAUGUGUCGCUACUCCUCCUCCCUCGAGUUCAAUGAAAACUUCAGCUACAACGGACCACGUUUAUGAUAUUGACAAACAAAUUCGACAACUGAAAAAGAAGAUUCUAUUGAUGGAGGCUCAACAACAGAAAGCAGGGUGUGGUCAUGAUCCAAAACAAGAACAAGUCGAGAAGGUUGCUAAAUUUGAAGAUUGGAGGAAAGAAUUGAGACUUCUGUUGGAUGCUUCUCUAGGAUCACUAUAAAGGCAUUUUUGUUGGGAUAAAAAAGGGUCUAUAUGAAAGAAAAUGUUUUCUUCACUGCUUGACCUGAUGAGGUAAUUAAGUUUGAGGAUCUUAAAGAGUUGGGAAGUGUGCCUGCUAUUAAGCAAUCAGCUAUGAAGGAAUAGAAAACUGAUAUACAAAAUGUCAAAAAAAGGGUUUUUUUGGUGGAAAAAGAAUAGUGUAAUUGAAAUACAUGGAAAAGGAAAUGUUGGAUGAGAUCAGAUAAUCAAAACAGUGGAUGUCCAAGUCAGUCCUUUGUUUUUUUUCUCACUUUUGCUAAUCAUAGUGCCAGAUCCACCUCUAUCUAUGAAAUCAGGUAUGUUCACUAAUUUGUUGCCUUUUUAAUUUGUUUUUCUAGAUUUGAGAACGUUUGGUUUGCUGUUUGUUCCCCAGAUUAGUACGGAUAGAUGGGUUUGCGAUUUUAUGAGCACACAGAUUUAGCUACAGUUUUAUGAGUUUUUGGCAAAAAUAUCAUAUGAGGUUAGUUUAAUUAUGUAUUCAGAAUAUUGUUUUUGGUUUUGUCCAUGGAUUCUUUUCUUUAGGGUUCUGACUGGAAGGUGAAGAUUUCUUUUUUUUAUUACUCUCAUUUUUUCCAGUUGGAGCACUAAUAAGAAGAAGACAUCGAUGCGGUUAUUUAAAUAACCUUCCUGCUGCCUUGCUCCACGUUUGAACCAGAUGCCCUGUUAAGGUCGUUGUGUAUCUUUGUGAGAUGGCGGGGGUACGUAUGGUUGAAAGAAGAAAAAGCAAAACACUUGCAGCAACAGAUGGAAGAAGGUAACUCUCAUUGCAACCCGGUUUAAUUCUUUAGAUUUGGAGCUAUAAUUGCAAGGUUGCAACAUUUUUUAUUUUUUGCUAAAUAUUAAACUAAUACUAUCAUUUUGUUUGUUAUAGACCUCCAAUUACAACUACUCAUUUUAAUAAUUGUUUGUUUUAAUAUUGCAUGUCACAUGGAAGCAUUUGAAUAAUUGCGGUAAAUAGCAACAUGCUUUGACUUUUAA